CCAGCUGCUGUGUCCUGGAGCAGCACUGUGGGAGGCCUGCACGAGAGAUCCGGGAACAAGAUCUGAAGCCUCUCGACAGCCACGGUGCAGAGCCAGAGGGCAGAGACUGACCCCCUGAAACCAAGAACCGAAAGAAAUGCUCCCUGAAAUCUGUUUAUCUCAAUAUGUUGCCAUGGUGGUUAAAAAUGACUGACACAAUGGACUGAGCCUCUCCAGUGAAUAAACACAGAUAAAUAUUUGAGGACACAGGCUGGAAGAGAAGCUUAAUUAUUAGCUUGUCCAAGUGUCUCCACUCAGCCCUAUUUAUAACUGCUCUGUGGACUUAAACCAAGAUAGUUAAAAAUAUCAGGAGAAAAAUACCAGGGAACUGUGAGGGCGGCUCGGCCACGUACCUCAACAUCCUGAGCCCCAGGACUAGCUGGCCAUCUGUCUAGCAGGGCUUGGAUCUCCUUCCUGUCUCUCGGCUGCUUGUGGAAAACUACAUGGUAAGCUCAAGAAGGCAAUCAUGCUAGAUUUAGU